rnacentral:tRNA from 1 species
GGACGUGUGAGUGAGUUGGUCGAUACUACCAGACUUUUAAUCUGGCUGCGAAAGCACAUCGGGGGUUCGAAUCCCUCCACGUCCUCCA